CCUACGGGGGGCUGCAGUGGGGGAUAUUGCACAAUGGGGGGAACCCUGAUGCAGCGACGCCGCGUGGGUGAAGGAGGGCUUCGGCAUGUAAAGCCCUAUCGGCAGGGAAGAAGCAAGACGGUACCUGACGAAGAAGCCCCGGCUAACUACGUGCCAGCAGCCGCGGUAAGACGUCGGGGGCGAGCGUGAUCCGGAUCAACGGGGUGGAAAGGGAGCGUAGACGGCCAAGCAAGCCAGGGGUGAAAGCCCGGGGCCCAACCCCGGGACUGCCCUUGGAACUGAAUGGCUGGAGUGCGGGAGGGGCAGGCGGCAUUCCUGUUGUAGCGGUGACAUGCGUAGAUAUCAGGAG
rnacentral:rRNA from 1 species